rnacentral:rRNA from 1 species
UACAGAGGGGGCAAGCGUUGUUCGGAAUUACUGGGCGUAAAGGGCGCGUAGGUGGCCUUCUAAGUUGAACGUGAAAUCCCUGGGCUCAACCCAGGAACUGCGUCCAAGACUGGGAGGCUUGAAUCCGGGAGAGGGAUGCGGAAUUCCAGGUGUAGCGGUGAAAUGCGCAGAUAUCAGGAGGAACACCGGUGGCGGAAGGCGGGUCUCUGGGCCGAGUACAUGACGCUGGAGGAGCGAAAGCGUCGGGGAGCGAACAGG